AGAGUUUGAUCCUGGCUCAGGAUGAACGCUAGCUACAGGCUUAACACAUGCAAGUCGAGGGGCAGCAUGAACUUAGCUUGCUAAGUUUGAUGGCGACCGGCGCACGGGUGAGUAACACGUAUCCAACCUGCCGAUGACUCGGGGAUAGCCUUUCGAAAGAAAGAUUAAUACCCGAUGGCAUAGUUCUUCCGCAUGGUAGAACUAUUAAAGGAUUUCGGUCAUCGAUGGGGAUGCGUUCCAUUAGGUUGUUGGCGGGGUAACGGCCCACCAAGCCUUCGAUGGAUAGGGGUUCUGAGAGGAAGGUCCCCCACAUUGGAACUGAGACACGGUCCAAACUCCUACGGGAGGCAGCAGUGAGGAAUAUUGGUCAAUGGACGAGAGUCUGAACCAGCCAAGUAGCGUGAAGGAUGACUGCCCUAUGGGUUGUAAACUUCUUUUAUACGGGAAUAAAGUGAGGCACGUGUGCCUUUUUGUAUGUACCGUAUGAAUAAGGAUCGGCUAACUCCGUGCCAGCAGCCGCGGU
rnacentral:rRNA from 2 species